CACGUAGGGGGCAAGCGUUGUCCGGAUUUAUUGGGCGUAAAGAGCUCGUAGGCGGCUCAGUAAGUCAGGUGUGAAACCUCCAGGCUCAACCUGGAGACGCCACCCGAUACUGCUGUGGCUAGAGUCCGGUAGGGGAGCGUGGAAUUCCUGGUGUAGCGGUGAAAUGCGCAGAUAUCAGGAGGAACACCCAGCGGCGGAAAGGCGGCGCUCUGGGCCGGAACUGACGCUGAGGAAGCGAAAGCGUGGGUAGCAAACAGG
rnacentral:rRNA from 1 species